rfam:Colius striatus contig2890, whole genome shotgun sequence.
AUUAAGGUUUCUUUAGAAACCACAUCAUUAUAGAUGUUAACGCUG